rnacentral:rRNA from 1 species
GACGGAGGGUGCAAGCGUUGUUCGGAAUUACUGGGCGUAAAGCGCGUGUAGGCGGUUCGAUAAGUCGGACGUGAAAGCCCGGGGCUUAACCCCGGAAGGGCAUCCGAAACUGUCGAGCUUGAGUACGGGAGAGGGAAGCGGAAUUCCUGGUGUAGAGGUGAAAUUCGUAGAUAUCAGGAGGAACACCGGUGGCGAAGGUGGCUUCCUGGACCGAUACUGACCCUGAGACGCGAAAGCGUGGGGAGCAAACAGG